rnacentral:rRNA from 1 species
UACGAAGGGGGCUAGCGUUGCUCGGAAUCACUGGGCGUAAAGCGCACGUAGGCGGAUUGUUAAGUCGGGGGUGAAAUCCUGGAGCUCAACUCCAGAACUGCCUUCGAUACUGGCGAUCUCGAGUCCGGGAGAGGUGAGUGGAACUCCGAGUGUAGAGGUGAAAUUCGUAGAUAUUCGGAAGAACACCAGUGGCGAAGGCGGCUCACUGGCCCGGUACUGACGCUGAGGUGCGAAAGCGUGGGGAGCAAACAGGAUUGAGAA